AGAGUUUGAUCCUGGCUCAGGCGGGGGGCGUGCUAUAAUGCAGUCGAACGAACUCUGGUAUUGAUUGGUGCUUGCAUCAUGAUUUACAUUUGAGUGAGUGGCGAACUGGUGAGUAACACGUGGGAAACCUGCCCAGAAGCGGGGGAUAACACCUGGAAACAGAUGCUAAUACCGCAUAACAACUUGGACCGCAUGGUCCGAGUUUGAAAGAUGGCUUCGGCUAUCACUUUUGGAUGGUCCCGCGGCGUAUUAGCUAGAUGGUGGGGUAACGGCUCACCAUGGCAAUGAUACGUAGCCGACCUGAGAGGGUAAUCGGCCACAUUGGGACUGAGACACGGCCCAAACUCCUACGGGAGGCAGCAGUAGGGAAUCUUCCACAAUGGACGAAAGUCUGAUGGAGCAACGCCGCGUGAGUGAAGAAGGGUUUCGGCUCGUAAAACUCUGUUGUUAAAGAAGAACAUAUCUGAGAGUAACUGUUCAGGUAUUGACGGUAUUUAACCAGAAAGCCACGGCUAACUACGUGCCAGCAGCCGCGGUAAUACGUAGGUGGCAAGCGUUGUCCGGAUUUAUUGGGCGUAAAGCGAGCGCAGGCGGUUUUUUAAGUCUGAUGUGAAAGCCUUCGGCUCAACCGAAGAAGUGCAUCGGAAACUGGGAAACUUGAGUGCAGAAGAGGACAGUGGAACUCCAUGUGUAGCGGUGAAAUGCGUAUAUAUAUGGAAGAACACCAGUGGCGAAGGCGGCUGUCUGGUCUGUAACUGACGCUGAGGCUCGAAAGUAUGGGUAGCAAACAGGAUUAGAUACCCUGGUAGUCCAUACCGUACACGAUGAAUGCUAAGUGUUGGAGGGUUUCCGCCCUUCAGUGCUGCAGCUAACGCAUUAAGCAUUCCGCCUGGGGAGUACGGCCGCAAGGCUGAAACUCAAAGGAAUUGACGGGGGCCCGCACAGCGGUGGAGCAUGUGGUUAAUUCGAAGCUACGCGAAGAACCUUACCAGGUCUUGACAUACUAUGCAAUCUAAAAUAU
rnacentral:rRNA from 2 species